CUGGGAGGACCAUCUCCUAAGGCUAAAUACUCUCUAGUGACCGAUAGUGAACCAGUACCGUGAGGGAAAGGUGAAAAGCACCCCGGAAGGGGAGUGAAAUAGAACCUGAAACCGUGUGCUUACAAGUAGUCAGAGCCCGUUAAUGGGUGAUGGCGUGCCUUUUGUAGAAUGAACCGGCGAGUUACGAUUUGAUGCAAGGUUAAGCAGUAAAUGUGGAGCCGUAGCGAAAGCGAGUCUGAAUAGGGCGUUUAGUAUUUGGUCGUAGACCCGAAACCAGGUGAUCUACCCUUGGUCAGGUUGAAGUUCAGGUAACACUGAAUGGAGGACCGAACCGACUUACGUUGAAAAGUGAGCGGAUGAACUGAGGGUAGCGGAGAAAUUCCAAUCGAACCUGGAGAUAGCUGGUUCUCUCCGAAAUAGCUUUAGGGCUAGCCUCAAGUGAUGAUUAUUGGAGGUAGAGCACUGUUUGGACGAGGGGCCCCUCUCGGGUUACCGAAUUCAGACAAACUCCGAAUGCCAAUUAAUUUAACUUGGGAGUCAGAACAUGGGUGAUAAGGUCCGUGUUCGAAAGGGAAACAGCCCAGACCACCAGCUAAGGUCCCAAAAUAUAUGUUAAGUGGAAAAGGAUGUGGCGUUGCCCAGACAACUAGGAUGUUGGCUUAGAAGCAGCCAUCAUUUAAAGAGUGCGUAAUAGCUCACUAGUCGAGUGACACUGCGCCGAAAAUGUACCGGGGCUAAACAUAUUACCGAAGCUGUGGAUUGUCCUUUGGACAAUGGUAGGAGAGCGUUCUAAGGGCGUUGAAGCAUGAUCGUAAGGACAUGUGGAGCGCUUAGAAGUGAGAAUGCCGGUGUGAGUAGCGAAAGACGGGUGAGAAUCCCGUCCACCGAUUGACUAAGGUUUCCAGAGGAAGGCUCGUCCGCUCUGGGUUAGUCGGGUCCUAAGCUGAGGCCGACAGGCGUAGGCGAUGGAUAACAGGUUGAUAUUCCUGUACCACCUAUAAUCGUUUUAAUCGAUGGGGGGACGCAGUAGGAUAGGCGAAGCGUGCGAUUGGAUUGCACGUCUAAGCAGUAAGGCUGAG
rnacentral:rRNA from 1 species